rnacentral:lncRNA from 1 species
UCUUAUUUUUAAAUAUUAUUUUUAUGGCUUCUUUGCAGGAGAAAAAGACUCUUUAAAACUAUAACUCAAUGCCAGGCAGAAAACAGACUAGUCUCUUAAACUAAUGGCUGUUGUUGAGGGCUCCUCUAGCAAUAUUCAGCUGAAAAAAAAAAUAGAACUUUGCAAUAAACGACCUUCACAGAAGAAGACUAUUCAUGUUAAUUAGUAGCUCUUUUCAAAUAUGAUUCAUAUAUGCAUUAGGCCAUGCCAUGCUGAACAAUGCAUGCAUUGUAGUAAACAUCAAGAUAAGUUUCAAGUGUGGUUAUCAAAAUUUUAGAAAACUCUAGCUAGGGAUUUUUUUCAUACGAUUGUGACUUACUGCUCCAAGUGCACGGCACAAUGGUAUAUUUCCUAAUGGCUUUUAGCUUUUGCCACUGCCAACUUUUAUAUUUAAAAUCCAUACAAUUAUGGACAAUUUAUGAACAUUAUGAGGCUUUUCUUUUUUGCACGGAUUCUUACUGAUUCGAGCCAGCUUUUAUCCUUAGCAAAUCAAAUGCAUUUGCUUACAACACUAGAUUCAUUCUCACAUAUUCCACUUUAUUCUUAUUAUUAGUAUUCCUUAUUAUGCAUAUUUAAUUUAAGAAUGCAUUUUCUCCAUUAAAAAAUUAGAAUAUGCUGAAAGAAGUAUUAGAAGGUGAUUAUUUGCUUUAGUUCGCUUUUAUUAACUGUGUAAGCCCUGAUAUGGCCCUUUCAAAGGUAAAAACAAGAGACAAAAAUCGCUAAAAAGCAAAAUGAAAUUUAAAUAAAAAUCUACUUAAAUAUCACAGACCUUAUGUAUGUAAUGACGGCAUAUAAGGUAUCAAAUUCAAAUAAAAGAACGGCUAAAAAUCUUUCAUUGUUGCAUGAAUGGAAGCUAUAAAUCUGCUAGUUUUUAAGUAAAUACACUACUAAGUACGGUUCUUUAGAGAUUAGUUCAGCGAGGUGUACCUUGAAAAAAACAAAAAGUAUCAAGUCAGUUGUGCACCUUACUCACUGCCACACACCACACCCCAUUCCACCACCCCACUCUCCCCAGUAACACAGGAAAAUUAAUGGGCCAAGCCUCGGCCUUACAUUAUACUCCUGUCCUUAGGUUAUACUCCUUUAACAAAAUAGCUGGGAGUUUAGGGUCUCAAAGUAAGUAAAUAGCCAGUUCAGUGGCUUUCUUAAUUUGGGGAGCCUUGACUGAAAGCCAUCAGCCAAGUGAUGUGGUUGCUUUUUGCCACGUGUUGCCUAAUAGGUAUGAAUCUGUCCACUUCUACUCCAAAACGACUGGUUUAACUGGUUGUUUUAAAAUUGCAGGGGCAAACCAAAGAACUGAGGUCCCACCUCUAUGUGACCAAUGGGAGCAGGCUACCCUCCUCCCUACCUCAUCACCACACACUCUGGUGCAACUCUGGUUACAGAGUAGGGGUCCUCUAUCAACCACGCCGAUGACAGCGGGGAAGAACAAAGCAUGUCUUUCAGUUUCUUGUCUUUACUGUGUUUAAGGAUUACCACUUCCUAUUGGCUUGAGACCUUGAAAUCUGUAAACAUCAGUUGGCUUUGUCUUACUAUGAAAUCGAAAUAAAUUAAUACUACCUAACAUAUUUCUGCACCUAUUAAGCACCUAUUACACGAAGGACAUCAUGCCAGCUACUUUUGCUAUCCUAAUGAUAAUACACCAAUAAGAAUAGCAGCCCACAUCAUAGGGAUAAAAAUCCUUAUUUACCCGGUGACUUGCUCUGUGAAUAUGCACAUAUUACUUAAUCUCACUAUGCCUCAGUUUUCGCCUCUGAAAAAUAGGGACAAUAAUAAGACCUACCUCAGGGAGCUAUUGUUAAGGAUUAAAUGUAAUACAUACAAAAACCCUCAGAACAGCUUUUCAGGCCCAAUUGGUAUCCUGGAUCCUAUGCCUCUAGAAGCCCUAGGUAUAUUUCUCUCCACGUAAUAAUCCUUAGUAUUUUGGAAUUUUCAAUACCAUUUUUAGCUUUAAAAAUGGAGCCAGUUCUGCAUGACUCCAUGCUCUCCCAGCUACACACUAUGCCUCAACGUAAUAGCCUCACUGCCCCUUUAUGGGCUUUAAUGACUUGAAUGAAAAUGGAAUUAUUUUAGUCAAGACCAAUAAAUGCCUUGAAAAUAAAAAUAUAAACAGACCUCAAUUAAUUAAUUGGCUAAUUAUUCUCUCCUGAAACCAAUAUUUUUUAGUUGUUCCACAACCAUGAUCAAACACAAAACAUCAAAAAAUAGUUAAGAGAGCGCUUUCUUGCUAUCUUGGCAAUUAAGGUUAAUCAAGUGCGCAAUUAAUCACAGAGAGAUCAGAUACUAAUAUUUGGAAAGUACCAUAUAUACAUUUUCUACCUGGUUUUAAAAAAAAUAGAAGUAAGGGUAAGGUGGGAGGGGAAUUUUGCUAUAGUCUCAAUAAUGAUGCAAUGAUGAUUCAGCAACCUAAGUUCAAAUUCCGAAGCCCCAAAUCAAAACAUCAGAAGUCUAUACCAUUUAUAAUCUGUUAAUUGCCUUCUUUAUAGGAGCCCAAGGAUCCAAAUAUUUGUUUUCAUUGGGUGUUAUUUUUAACAAUAUAUUUUGGGAUUGAUAGAUCACCUCCAAACACCGUGUUGAUGUAUCAUUCAACAGUAGUGAUAGGAGUCUGUGAACCUGUACCUCUUUGCCCUUGGUGAGGGCUAGGUCAGAUUGAUCAUGGCAUUAUUAUGUCAUGCAUUCUAACAGUCUGCCUCUGGAAGAAAGUCAUGUCUGCUGCAGUACAAUUAUCUAAGACUGAUGAUACAGACCGAAGUCAUUAAAAUAAAAUUUAUUUGGCAUGGCUCUUCUCAGUCACUGUUCCAACUUCACAAUCCACUUAGUAGGCACAAAGAAUUCUCCUUAGCGGGACUACAUUUUGACCAUGCCAGUAAAAAGCAAAGGCUCUUUUUAACGGACAUAUUAUAGGCAAAAUAACAUAAUCCUUCAGUAAGAGAAGACCGGGGUUGUUGCUUGCUGGAGGUGGACCUCCAUCAUGAGUAUCACGAUUUCAUCAGUGAUGCUUGAGAAAGCCAGACAAAGAUCUAUCGAUAAUCAGGUCAGAAGCAGCUCCAUUUUCUAAUUUCUCCACAGUGAAAGUCUAGACAUUUGUCAAAAGUUUGUGAGAUUUUGGUGAGCAAUAGAAGUGGGGAUGAUAAACAGUGGUCAGCAGCAUGCUGUCCUUCAAGUAGAUCCUAGAAGACACGGCUUGAACACCCCCUAAGAACAUGGAGAGGGCUCCUCUUGGUCUGGAAUUUCCUGCUCAUCCCUUGACCCCCUCCUGUUCCAACUGAACCCUUUAUUUAUCUCUCAGUGACUUCUAUAGUACACCCCCC